GGGAUUUUUGCUGUUGAUUGGUGGGGGGGAGAGGUGGGUGGGGCGGUGGGAAGGGUUGUUGCUGCUGUUGAGGUUUUGAGUGGAUUUUUUUCUGUUGAUGAGUGGGGCAUUUUUGCUGUUGAUUGGGGGGAGAGCUUCGAUCUGGUGGAUUCAGUUAAGAUGGUUCACGCAAAGGAUAGUGAUGAAAUUUUUGUUGAUUCUACUUCUUCUGAUUCUGAAAGUUCUGAAAAUGAUGAUGUUAUUUCUGAUAGUGAAGACUCUAAAACUAGUUGUGAUGAGAUAUCAAAAGAGGAGCUAUUGCGAUCUUUGAAGCUGAAGUUGAAUAAAAAGAAAGUAUCUAUUGACUGCAAUUUCAAGAGAAAAAGACCUGAAACAGGAGAAGUUGAUUUCAAAAAUCAGUUGGAUUCAACAUUACUUGAAAUUUUUAGAGACAAUGUUUUGAUUGGUAUGAAACGAAAACUCUACUGCCAUAAAAGCAAGAAAAAAUCUGUCAUGACUGAUGCAACAGAAGAAACUAAAUUGACAAGAUUCUCUGUGAAGUACUUUUCUGAAGUUCUGGAAAAGUUGUCUAAACGUCAUAGAGAUAUCAUUUCCAAAUCUUGUUUCAAAACCCUUUUGUUGUUUGAGAAAUGUUCUAUGCCAUAUAGACUUGCUUUAUGGAUUGCCCAAAAAGUUGAUGUCAAUUCUUGUGACAUCAUUGUUCGAGACAAAGUAAUUCCACUUUCAAAAGAAUCUGUUCAUAUAGUUUUAGGUCUUCCUGUUGGAGGUUUACCUAUCAGUUCCAAUUCUGAAAUUGGCAAGCAGAAAAUUCUUGAAACUUUUGGUCUCUCUUCUUUGCCUACUGUCAAAUUUUUUGGAGAUAAGCUGAUAAGGAACGAAUCAAUGUCUGAUGAUCAAGUGUUGAUAUCCUUCAUGAUGGUUUCUUUGAACUGUUUUCUUUGCCCAAACUCAUCCCUUCAACCUAGCACAAAAUAUCUCAGUGCUUUUGCGGAUCUUACUUCUAUUGAUAAAUUGGAUUGGAGCAAUCUUGUUUUUGAAUGGUUGAUGAAACAUCUUAGCAAGCUUGAGAAGUCCAAAAGUUUUGGUGGUUGUCUGUACUACCUUGUGGUCAAUUACUUGGAUUUUCUUAACUUUGGUAUGCGAAAAGUGUUGCAAGAUACUCCAAGAAUCAAAGUAUGGAAAGGAACAAUGAUCAAAAAAUUUUCAAAGUUUGAUAAAAUAAGCAAAGGAGUCUAUGGCAAAAGACCGAUAAAAGAUUUUUCUGAGAGCUGUUACAAAAUGAUUGAAACUGGUAUUGCGAAAGCAACUUUUCUUCAAAGGCUUGAUUCUGCAAUUGGUGUUGACUUACCUCAAGAAAUCAAAAAAGACAUAAAUGAGUUGCUUCUGCACCAUUUGGGUCCUGAUGAAAAUUGCAUCGAUGAUAGAGUGAAGAAUCUUCUGAUUGAUAUAUUUGAUCUUUUAUCUAAUGCUAGCAAGCCAAGUGUUCCUGAUAAUACUGAUUUUAAUCCUUCUGAAGAUGACAAGAAUAAGUUGAAUGAUGGCAGCAUAAUAAAUGAAGCUAACAUUUGUGAAACCCCAAAGAUCCAUUCCACUUGUGAUGACAAUGCAAUUCUAAAUGAACAGUCCCCAAUGCUGUGCAAAGAUACUAAAACUCCCGAAAGAUCAUGUUCUGAAAAGGAUAAAAAUUCUGAUGUUGAUGGUAUAAUGAGAAAGCUUUGUAAGCCUGGAAUGAUUUCUAGUCCUCCAAAGAUAACUAAAGCAAGAUUUGUUGGUUUCAAUGAAAGAAAACCCAUCUAUUUUGAUCAUGAGAAGCCACAGUUUCAAAUCUGGGAUUCAGAUGAUGAUAACAUUAAUCAAGAAGAUAAUUUGAGGUCUGAAGUAACACCAAGACAUGGACUCAAAUCAAGCAAAAUUGUUCCUGAUUCUUACUCCCCAGCAUGCCCUACUGAAUUGAACAAAACCAAGAUUAUUCCAUUGGACUUGUCACAAAAUUUAUAUGAUUUAUCUCAAAACCAAGAAAACAAUUCAGAAAACGAGGACCAGUUGAUAAUGGUAACUUUGGAGGAUUCAGAAACACAAUCUCAACACAAUGAAAAGAAAAAUUUGCCUGUUCAACAACAGUACACUAAGACAACAGAAAACAAAAAGGAUUCACCUGAAGUAGUUUUUCUUGGGGAAAGGCAAUCGACAGAAAAUUGUCUUGAUAUCACAUCAAAGGCUAAUGUAUUGUACAACAAAAUCAACACUUUCAUAGUCAAUCCAGAUAAGAAAUUGAAGAUGUGCACUGCCAGUCCAGAAAGGGUUCUUUUAUGCAAUGUUGAUAGAAAUGUUGGACAGUGUAGUUCCAGUCAAAAACCUCAGCAUGAUCUCAGGAGAAUUCUACAACCAGCAAGAUAUUCUACUGAUCCAUAUAGUCCUGAGAGGCAAUCUUUUUGUGUCAUAGCUUAUGAUAGACAAGUAUAUAAUGCUGUUUGCAAGAUAAGCAAAAGUUCAUUUCAAGAUUUUCUGUCGUACAUGUUUCGACUAUCCCAUCCCUCAAAAUCCAAAAAACAUUACUUCUUCUCAUCAAUUGGCGAUGAUCUUCUUAAGGAACGCUCUGCAACUAACUUCUCUGUUGUCAAAAAGUGUUUUGAUGGAGCAUCCCUUGCAAGACCUGUUCACAGCUGUGACUUGCUUUUUUUUCCAAUUGUCAAGAAUCGGCACUGGUUUGUGUUUGCAAUUGAUCCGAAAGCUCAGAGGUUUGUUUUUCUGGAUUCAAUGUAUGAUGAGGACAGUAUAUAUCAUCAACAGAUUAGGCCAAAACUGAUAUCAAACUUUAGUCUUGUCUGGAACCUUUAUGUCAAAGAUCAUCGAAUAGAUUUCAACAACUACACAGUCAUUUAUCCUCCAGUGCCCAAGCAAACAAACAGUUCAUGGAGGUUUGGGGCCCUAGAGUGCUGCUUCCAAAUAUCUUUUCGCAAAGAGAUAUUCCUAAUAUCAGAAUACAGUUACUCAACAAAAUGUUGUUUCACCCACACAAUUCAAUUCUUUGUUCAGACCUUUACAAACUACUGGAUGAUCACUUCUGAAGGUGUGCUGAAGAUCUGAUUCAACAGGACAACAGAUUUGUCUUUACAUGCAAGCAAUAGAGUAUAGCAGUGCAGGAUAUCAAUUCUCAUAAAACUGUAACUAGAAUAUAUUUGUCUGGACAAUUUUUUUUUUGUAAUCUCAGUACUGAAACUAGACUAUAGCAGUAUAUGAUAUAUAGUACUGUAACUAGAAUAUAGUAUUACAUGAUAUAAUUUUCAGCACAAAUUCAUGGUGGUGAAAUAUACAAGUUCUGAU
rnacentral:lncRNA from 1 species